UACGUAGGUGGCGAGCGUUGUCCGGAUUUACUGGGCGUAAAGGGCGCGUAGGCGGCCACCGCAAGUCAGUUGUGAAAUCUCCGAGCUUAACUCGGAAAGGUCAACUGAUACUGCGGGGCUAGAGUGCGGAAGGGGCAACUGGAAUUCUUGGUGUAGCGGUGAAAUGCGUAGAUAUCAAGAGGAACACCUGCGGCGAAGGCGGGUUGCUGGGCCGACACUGACGCUGAGGCGCGAAAGCUAGGGGAGCGAACGGG
rnacentral:rRNA from 1 species